GGAAGGGUCAGCAAGGAGCUGGAAGGUAAAGCAGCACAAAGGCAAAGUAGAAGGAGCAGAAAGGGUCAGAAAUGAGCUGGAAGGGGCAGAAGGAGCACAAACAUAAAGUAGGAGAAUGAGCAGGAAGGGCCUGCAAGGAGCAGGAAGGAGCACAAAGGGACAGCAAGGAGCACAAAGGUAAAGUAGGAGAAAGAGCAGAAAGGGAC